rnacentral:rRNA from 1 species
UACGGAGGGUGCAAGCGUUGUUCGGAUUUACUGGGCGUAAAGGGCGCGUAGGCGGCUUGGUAAGUCGGGUGUGAAAUCCUUCCGCUUAACGGAAGAAGUGCACCCGAAACUGCCUUGCUGGAGUUUAGGAGAGGAGAGCGGAAUUCCUGGUGUAGCGGUGAAAUGCGAAGAGAUCAGGAGGAACACCGAAGGCGAAGGCAGCCUUCUGGACCGCCACUGACGCUGAGGCACGAAAGCGUGGGGAGCAAACAGG